AGAGUUUGAUCAUGGCUCAGGACGAACGCUGGCGGCGUGCCUAAUACAUGCAAGUCGAGCGGAUUGAUGGGAGCUUGCUCCCUGAUAUCAGCGGCGGACGGGUGAGUAACACGUGGGCAACCUGCCUGUAAGACUGGGAUAACUUCGGGAAACCGGAGCUAAUACCGGAUAAUCCUUUUCCUCACAUGAGGAAAAGCUGAACGACGGUUUCGGCUGUCACUUACAGAUGGGCCCGCGGCGCAUUAGCUAGUUGGUGAGGUAACGGCUCACCAAGGCGACGAUGCGUAGCCGACCUGAGAGGGUGAUCGGCCACACUGGGACUGAGACACGGCCCAGACUCCUACGGGAGGCAGCAGUAGGGAAUCUUCCACAAUGGACGAAAGUCUGAUGGAGCAACGCCGCGUGAGCGAUGAAGGCCUUCGGGUCGUAAAGCUCUGUUGUUAGGGAAGAACAAGUAUCGGAGUAACUGCCGGUACCUGACGGUACCUAACCAGAAGCC
rnacentral:rRNA from 1 species